rnacentral:rRNA from 1 species
AUUGAACGCUGGCGGCAUGCCUUACACAUGCAAGUCGAACGGCAGCACGGGUGCUUGCACCUGGUGGCGAGUGGCGAACGGGUGAGUAAUAUAUCGGAACGUACCUUAUUGUGGGGGAUAACGCAGCGAAAGCUGUGCUAAUACCGCAUACGCCCUGAGGGGGAAAGCGGGGGAUCGCAAGACCUCGCGCGAUUAGAGCGGCCGAUGCCUGAUUAGCUUGGUGGUGGGGUAAAAGCCCACCAAGGCGACGAUCAGUAGCUGGUCUGAGAGGACGAUCAGCCACACUGGGACGGAGACACGGCCCAGACUCCUACGGGGGGCAGCAGUGGGGAAUUUUGGACAAUGGGGGCAACCCUGAUCCAGCAAUGCCGCGUGAGUGAAGAAGGCCUUCGGGUUGUAAAGCUCUUUUGUCAGGGAAGAAACACCGGCUCUAACACAGUCCGGGAAUGACGGUACCUGAAGAAUAAGCACCGGCUAACUACGUGCCAGCAGCCGCCGUAA